GAUGAACGCUGGCGGCGUGCUUAACACAUGCAAGUCGAACGGGAAACCUUUUAAUGAAGCUUCGGCAGAUUUAGCUGGUUUCUAGUGGCGGACGGGUGAGUAACGCGUGGGUAACCUGCCUUAUACAGGGGGAUAACAGUCAGAAAUGACUGCUAAUACCGCAUAAGCGCACAGGACCGCAUGGUCCGGUGUGAACAACUCCGGUGGUAUAAGAUGGACCCGCGUUGGAUUAGCUUGUUGGUGGGGUAACGGCGCACCAAGGCGACGAUCCAUAGCCGGCCUGAGAGGGUGAACGGCCACAUUGGGACUGAGACACGGCCCAGACUCCUACGGGAGGCAGCAGUGGGGAAUAUUGCACAAUGGGGGAAACCCUGAUGCAGCGACGCCGCGUGAAGGAAGAAGUAUCUCGGUAUGUAAACCUCUAUAAGCAGGGAAGAUAGUGACGGUACCUGACUAAGAAGCCCCGGCUAACUACGUG
rnacentral:rRNA from 1 species